rnacentral:rRNA from 1 species
AUUGAACGCUGGCGGCAGGCCUAACACAUGCAAGUCGAGCGGAUGCAGGGAGCUUGCUCCUGGUUUCAGCGGCGGACGGGCGAGUAAUGCCUAGGAAUCUGCCUGGCUGCGGGGGAUAACGUCCGGACACGGGCGCUAAUACCGCAUACGUCCUGAGGGCGAACGUGGGGGAUCUUCGGACCUUACGCUCUCGGAUGAGCCUAGGUCGGAUUAGCUAGUUGGUGGGGUAAAGGCCUACCAAGGCGACGAUCCGUAACUGGUCUGAGAGGAUGAUCAGUCACACUGGAACUGAGACACGGUCCAGACUCCUACGGGAGGCAGCAGUGGGGAAUAUUGGACAAUGGGCGAAAGCCUGAUCCAGCCAUGCCGCGUGUGUGAAGAAGGUCUUCGGAUUGUAAAGCACUUUAAGUGGGGAGGAAGAGCAGUAAGUUAAUACCUUGCUGUUUUGACGGUACCAACAGAAUAAGCACCGGCUAACUUCGUG